GUAUAAUGUGCAACAUAACAAUUUUACCAACGUAUUGUUGAGGCUGCGAAAUAAAUGUUUAUCCUAUUCCGCAACUUUUACUAUUAAAGGGGAAAAAAUGCGCCAAACCCAUUAACGUCCACAUCAUUUAAACUUUUAACGGUUAUAAAAGUUUCCCAUUAUCCUGUUAAACAGUCAAGACACAUCUAUUGUGUAAAUUCAAGAAUCAGAACAAACUGGCAUACUACAUGUCGUUCGGACGAACAAUAUUUUCUAGUCUCGCGUUUACAGUACUAUGAAUUCAGGUUAGCAAAAAAAAAAAAAAAAAAAAAAAAAAAAAUACAGUUUUGUUGGUG